rnacentral:rRNA from 1 species
UACGUAGGGACCAAGCGUUGUUCGGAUUUACUGGGCGUAAAGGGCGCGUAGGCGGCAAUUCAAGUCAGCUGUGAAAUCUCCGGGCUUAACUCGGAACGGUCAGCUGAUACUGCUUUGUUAGAGUGCAGAAGGGGCAAUCGGAAUUCUUGGUGUAGCGGUGAAAUGCGUAGAUAUCAAGAGGAACACCUGAGGUGAAGACGGGUUGCUGGGCUGACACUGACGCUGAGGCGCGAAAGCUAGGGUAGCAAACGGG